rnacentral:rRNA from 1 species
UACGUAGGGGCCUAGCGUUGUCCGGAUUUAUUGGGCGUAAAGAGCUCGUAGGCGGUUCGGUAAGUCAGGUGUGAAAUCUCCACGCUCAACGUGGAGGCGCCACCUGAAACUGCCGUGACUCGAGUCCGGUAGGGGAGUGUGGAAUUCCCGGUGUAGCGGUGAAAUGCGCAGAGUAUCGGGAGGAACACCAGUGGCGAAGGCGGGCAC